GAUGCAGAAAACCAAACCUGAUGCAAAACAGGGACGGAAAACAACAGAUCUUCCUGAGAUAGCCGGGUUCAGGCG
rnacentral:ncRNA from 2 species